ensembl:snoRNA
AUCCUUUUGUAGUUUGUAAGUAUGAUGAUUGGGUGUUCACACUCACGUAUGAGAUGUGCCUACCUCAAACCUUGUUACAACGUUGGCACAUUACCCAUCUGAAG